UUAUUAGAAGAGACGCAUUUAUUAGAUAAAAAGCCAAUGCAUGCUUUUACAGUAUGAAAAUUGGUGAUUUAUAAUAACUUAGCAAAUCGCAAAGUGAAAACAGGCGAUAAAUCAUUCAAGUUUCUGACCUAUCAGCUUUCGACGGUAUGGUAUUGGCUUACCGUGGCAGUGACGGUUAACGGGGGAUUAGGGUUCGAUUCCGGAGAGGGAGCCUGAGAAACGGCUACCACAUCUAAGGAAGGCAGCAGGCGCGCAAAUUACCCAAUUCUAACAGUUUGAGAGAGGUAGUAACAAGAAAUAACAAUACAAGGCAGUUAAAAUGCUUUGUAAUUGGAAUGAUAGAAAUUUAAACCCUUUUUAAAGUAUCAAUUGGAGGGCAAGUCUGGUGCCAGCAGCCGCGGUAAUUCCAGCUCCAAUAGCGUAUAUUAAAAUUGUUGCAGUUAAAAAGCUCGUAGUUGAAGUUCUGCUAAAAGUAACCGGUCUGCUUUUAAUAAAGGUGGUAUCUUGGUGUGUAUUUAGCAAUGAUGUCCUUUGAAGUGUUUUUUACUUUAUUGUAAUAAAGCAUAUUCAGGACUUUUACUUUGAGAAAAUUAGAGUGUUUCUAGCAGGCUAACGCU
rnacentral:rRNA from 1 species